CAGUCGCCGCGGUAAUACAGAGGGUGCGAGCGUUAAUCGGAUUUACUGGGCGUAAAGCGUGCGUAGGCGGCUUCUUAAGUCGGAUGUGAAAUCCCUGAGCUUAACUUAGGAAUUGCAUUCGAUACUGGGAAGCUAGAGUAUGGGAGAGGAUGGUAGAAUUCCAGGUGUAGCGGUGAAAUGCGUAGAGAUCUGGAGGAAUACCGAUGGCGAAGGCAGCCAUCUGGCCUAAUACUGUCGCUGAGGUACGAAAGCAUGGGGAGCAAACAGGAUUAGAUACCCGUGUAGUCCCUGUCUCUUAUAC
rnacentral:rRNA from 1 species